rnacentral:rRNA from 1 species
AGAUUGAACGCUGGCGGCAUGCCUUACACAUGCAAGUCGAACGGCAGCACGGGAGCAAUCCUGGUGGCGAGUGGCGAACGGGUGAGUAAUAUAUCGGAACGUGCCCAGUCGUGGGGGAUAACGCAGCGAAAGCUGUGCUAAUACCGCAUACGAUCUAUGGAUGAAAGCGGGGAUCGCAAGACCGUCGCGCGAGUUGGAGCGGCCGAUAUCAGAGUUAGGUAGGUUGGGUAGGGGUAAAGCUACACCGAAGGCGACGAUCUAGUA